rnacentral:rRNA from 1 species
GACUCAACACGGGAAACCUCACCAGGCCCGGACACCGGAAGGAUUGACAGAUUAAUAGCUCUUUCUUGAUUCGGUGGGUGGUGGUGCAUGGCCGUUCUUAGUUGGUGGAGCGAUUUGUCUGGUUAAUUCCGGUAACGAACGAGACUCUAGCCUGCUAAAUAGGCGUCGCCAUUUUGGUGCGCGGGAUUCGUGCCCGCAUUCACUGGCGGCGUAAUAAAAUUCUUCUUAGAGGGACCGGCGGCUUUGAGCGUACGAGAUUGAGCAAUAACAGGUCUGUGAUGCCCUUAGAUGUCCUGGGCCGCACGCGCGCUACACUGAAGGAAUCAGCAUGUCAUCCUGGCUAAAGGCCCGGGCAACCCGCUGAAACUCCUUCGUGCUGGGGAUUGGGGUUUGCAAUUAUCCCCCAUAAACGAGGAAUUCCUAGUANSCGCGAGUCAUAAGCUCGCGUUGAUUACGUCCCUGCCCUUUGUACACACCGCCCGUCGCUACUACCGAUUGAAUGAUUUAGUGAGGUCUUCGGACG